UACGUAGGGACCGAGCGUUGUCCGGAUUUAUUGGGCGUAAAGAGCUCGUAGGCGGUUUGUCGCGUCUGCCGUGAAAGUCCGGGGCUCAACUCCGGAUCUGCGGUGGGUACGGGCAGACUAGAGUGAUGUAGGGGAGACUGGAAUUCCUGGUGUAGCGGUGAAAUGCGCAGAUAUCAGGAGGAACACCGGUGGCGAAGGCGGCAUCCUGGACCGGCAUUGACGCUGAGGCGCGAAGGCGUGGGGAGCGAACGGG
rnacentral:rRNA from 1 species